rnacentral:rRNA from 1 species
UGGGGAAUAUUGGACAAUGGGCGAAAGCCUGAUCCAGCCAUGCCGCGUGUGUGAAGAAGGUCUUCGGAUUGUAAAGCACUUUAAGUUGGGAGGAAGGGCAUUAACCUAAUACGUUAGUGUUUUGACGUUACCGACAGAAUAAGCACCGACUAACUCUGUGCCAGCAGCCGCGGUAAUACAGAGGGUGCAAGCGUUAAUCGGAAUUACUGGGCGUAAAGCGCGCGUAGGUGGUUUGUUAAGUUGGAUGUGAAAUCCCCGGGAUCAACCUGGGAACUGCAUUCAAAACUGACUGACUAGAGUAUGGUAGAGGGUGGUGGAAUUUCCUGUGUAGCGGUGAAAUGCGUAGAUAUAGGAAGGAACACCAGUGGCGAAGGCGACCACCUGGACUAAUACUGACACUGAGGUGCGAAAGCGUGGGGAGCAAACA